CUCUGAAUAGCAUAGUGGUAUUGCGCCGGACUGUAACUGUUACACCUGUCUACACCUCCCUUCCGAGUGGAAGAAGCCAUCCGUAGGUCCCCUGUUCGAAUCAGGGUUCAGAGA
rnacentral:tRNA from 1 species